GGCUCAGGAUGAACGCUAGCGGCAGGCUUAAUACAUGCAAGUCGUGGGGCAGCAUGAGUAGCAAUACUUGAUGGCGACCGGCAAACGGGUGAGGAACACGUACACUAACCUUCCUUCAAGCGGGGAAUAGCCCAGAGAAAUUUGGAUUAAUACCCCAUAAUAUAUUUGAUAAGGCAUCUUAUUAAUAUUAAAGCUUCGGCACUUGAUGAUGGGUGUGCGGCUGAUUAGAUAGUUGGCGGGGUAACGGCCCACCAAGUCUACGAUCAGUAGCUGAUGUGAGAGCAUGAUCAGCCACACGGGCACUGAGACACGGGCCCGACUCCUACGGGAGGCAGCAGUAAGGAAUAUUGGACAAUGGACGAAAGUCUGAUCCAGCCAUGCCCGCGUGAAGGAUUAAGGUCCUCUGGAUUGUAAACUUCUUUUAUAUGGGACGAAAAAGGGCAUUCUUGUUCACUUGACGGUACCAUAUGAAUAAGCACCGGCUAACUCCGUG
rnacentral:rRNA from 1 species